rnacentral:rRNA from 1 species
UACAGAGGGUGCGAGCGUUAAUCGGAAUUACUGGGCGUAAAGCGCGCGUAGGCGGCUUUGCAAGUCGGGUGUGAAAUCCCCAGGCUUAACCUGGGAACUGCAUUCGAGACUGCAUUGCUAGAGUAUGGGAGAGGGAAGUGGAAUUUCCGGUGUAGCGGUGAAAUUCGUAGAUAUUGGGAAGAACACCGGUGGCGAAGGCGGCCAUCUGGACCGCAACUGACGCUGAGGCGCGAAAGCGUGGGGGAGCAAACAGG